rnacentral:rRNA from 1 species
UACGUAGGGUGCAAGCGUUAAUCGGAAUUACUGGGCGUAAAGCGUGCGCAGGCGGCUUUGCAAGACAGAUGUGAAAUCCCCGGGCUCAACCUGGGAACUGCAUUUGUGACUGCAUGGCUGGAGUGCGGCAGAGGGGGGAUGGAAUUCCGCGUGUAGCAGUGAAAUGCGUAGAUAUGCGGAGGAACACCGAUGGCGAAGGCAAUCCCCUGGGCCUGCACUGACGCUCAUGCACGAAAGCGUGGGGAGCGAAACAGGGG